UACAGAGGGUGCAAGCGUUAAUCGGAAUUACUGGGCGUAAAGCGUGCGUAGACGGUAGCGUAAGUCGGGUGUGAAAGCCCCGGGCUCAACCUGGGAAUUGCAUUCGAGACUGCUCUGCUAGGGUGCGGAAGAGGGAAGCGGAAUUUCCGGUGUAGCGGUGAAAUGCGUAGAUAUCGGAAGGAACACCAGUGGCGAAAGCAGCUUCCUGGUCCAGCACCGACGUUCAGGCACGAAAGCGUGGGGAGCAAACAGG
rnacentral:rRNA from 1 species